rnacentral:rRNA from 1 species
CACGUAGGGGGCGAGCGUUGUCCGGAAUCAUUGGGCGUAAAGAGCUCGUAGGCGGCUCAGUAAGUCGGGUGUGAAACCCCCAGGCUCAACCUGGGACGCCACCCGAUACUGCUGUGGCUAGAGUCCAGUAGGGGAGUGUGGAAUUCCCGGUGUAGCGGUGAAUGACGCAGAGUAUACGGAGGAACACCAGCGGCGAAGGCGGCGACCUGGACAAGUACUGACACUCAACUACGAAAGCGUGG